CUCCGCAGUUCGCACACACUUCAGUUGUACCGAAGUGAUGACGUUUGACAUUAGGAAGGGCAGUCCAACGAAAAGAGACCGGUAGCCUAUAUUUUCACAACUAGUAUAAAAAGUGAAACAAAUGCUUCAAAACGGAUAGCAAUUGCAAGGAGUAGAAAUGUUUACAUAAUAAUCGAGUGUAAAAGUACAACUUCUUAAACUUUAUCCAUGUCAAAUUAUUCACAAUGUUUUGUGCAUAAUGAAGGUGUUCUGCUUCUGCCUACUGCAGGAGUUGAGAAAAGGCGGUAACUGCUUACCUCUCAUGUAAGCUACAGCCUAUGUGGUGUGUGGCAAGUCAUAUUAAUGACCAAGAAUGACUUGUAACUUAAUUGUUAUGUGCUUUUAAUAUGUUUCAGGCAGUGGUGUUGCAUCUUUUAUAUGCAUGGUUGUCCUGAAGUCAUUCUGGAACAGGGGUUGUGUUCAGGUGCGUGACAACUGACAACAUUGAGAAGACCCAGGAGCGGGAGAAGGGCAGCCUGAUGAAAGAAGGCGACAGUGUUCUGUGGUCACACCUGAGAUGAUGGUCCUGAAGAGGAACGAGAGGAGAUACUGGCCAUAUAAAUACAGGCACUGGUCAUCACAGUGGAGGACAAUCAUGAAAAGGUUGAGGACUUCACUGUGCCCAUCCCUGAAGUCCCUCCACUCGUUGCAGCAGCUCUUUCCACCAUACUGCCAUGCUCUGGGUUGUCCCUGCCACCAUCCACCUUUUGGGUCAUCCGUGCCGCCAGCCAUCACCGUGCCUGCAGCGCCUGGGUCAUCCGUGCCACUCCCCACCAUGCUGCCAGCCAUCACUGUGCCUGCAGCACCUGGGUCAUCCCUGCCACCAUCCACCGUGCCUUCAACGUCCACAGCACCUCCGGUGUCUGUGAGCCAGUUUGCAGCUCUACUGGCCUCUCCAGUAUACAGUAUGCUGUAAUUGCUAAUGGUUUCUCUGAGUGGCCAGACCGGUUAAUUGUCCCGUAUCCCAACUAUUUACCACUAAACAAGUGAUUUUGUAAUAAGUAGGAGAUCUUUGCAAUGUUAUCAGUAUGGUUGGACUCUGAUGUUUCACUGCUGUAUGUCUUCCUCAAAGAGUAAACCGAAUUCUGAGUAUUCUUGGAUUUAGUCUUUGAAAAGUAGAGCAGCCUGUUUGUUUGAAACUGUUGUCCUGGACACCAAAUAGACUGGAACUGAUAUCCUUUUUUUAAAAGAAACUGGUAUCCUUUUUAUGUGUGCAGUUUAAUGGUAGAAGAGUAUACACUGAUGUGCCUUUAUCAGUAACAAAGUGAAAACGGAACAAAAUUUGACUAUUUCUGUCAAAAACUGCUACAAAUUCUACAUAUUGUUUAUAUAAACCUAGUUCUGGAGGAAGUCUGAGAGUUAUUGACAGUUGCCAUGUCUAGCUUCCGCCUUCGCGUAAAUUUAAAUCCCUCCUUCCCUCCUCCCCCUGUCAUGCGCAAAGGCUAUCCUAAUUGUCCCAGCACCUCCCCCUACUCCCUCAUCUCACUGGAUCACCCAGCUACAUGUCCCCUACACUUAUGGAGUGGAAGCGGAUCUCGUGCCGCAUGAUCUCCGCAGGGUCCCAGGACAGAGGCCAGCUAACAUCGAAUUAUGCCUAUUGACUAUGGUUACCAUACUCCAGGGCAAACUCGUGAAUUAAAUGGUCCUGUUGUUUAUAUUUGUUUACUUUUUGUGAGAUAAACUGAAACAUUGUGUAUCUGCUCAUUUUUCACAUUUUCCUGUUGGCGAUAUCCCUUUAAAUAAAACAUCUUGGUUGAUAUGCACAGGUUUGUUGUAAUUGUAAUUUCCCUGGUGGACGUUUGCACAACACAGUAGAGGCAGAAAACACUGAUUGUUAAAAAGUAACUUUUUAGUUUUUCUCAAAGUUUAUUUUAAUUUUAAAUGAUAUACUUUUUAUUUUUACCUAAGUAGAUUCUUUCAAUGGUACAUUUACUUGUGAUUGAGUACAAUUUCAACAGAGUAAUUAUUCUGAUUACUUUAUUGUUGUG